CCUACGGGGGGCAGCAGUGGGGGAUAUUGCACAAUGGGGGGAACCCUGAUGCAGCGACGCCGCGUGGGUGAAGGAGUGCUUCGGCAUGUAAAGCCCUAUCGGCAGGGAAGAAGCAAGACGGUACCUGACUAAGAAGCCCCGGCUAACUACGUGCCAGCAGCCGCGGUAAGACGUAGGGGGCGAGCGUUAUCCGGAUUCACUGGGUGUAAAGGGAGCGUAGACGGCCAAGCAAGCCAGGGGUGAAAGCCCUGGGCCCAACCCCGGGACUGCCCUUGGAACGGCAUGGCUGGAGUGCGGGAGGGGAAGGCGGAAUUCCUGGUGUAGCGGCGAAAUGCGUAGAUAUCAGGAGGAACACCGGCGGCGAAGGCGGCUUGCUGGACCGCGACUGACGUUGAGGCUCGAAAGCGUGGGGAGCGAACAGGAUUAGAUACCCCAGUAGUC
rnacentral:rRNA from 1 species